rnacentral:tRNA from 1 species
GUUCUUGUAGUUGAAUAACAACGAUGGUUUUUCAUAUCAUAAGUCAUAGUAAUUACUAUGCAAGAAUU